rnacentral:rRNA from 1 species
UACGAAGGGGGCUAGCGUUGUUCGGAAUCACUGGGCGUAAAGCGCACGUAGGCGGCUCUUUAAGUCAGGGGUGAAAUCCCGAGGCUCAACCUCGGAACUGCCUUUGAUACUGGGGAUCUCGAGUCCGGGAGAGGUGAGUGGAACUGCGAGUGUAGAGGUGAAAUUCGUAGAUAUUCGGAAGAACACCAGUGGCGAAGGCGGCUCACUGGCCCGGUACUGACGCUGAGAUACGAAAGCGUGGGGAGCAAACAGG